rnacentral:lncRNA from 10 species
CAAAGUGAAACUGCCGCCAAGUGCUGAUAUGUCUGGCACGGCCCAGGUACCAGGGCAGGGGAAAUAACAGCAGUGUCCAUCCUCCACUGUGAGCCAUGAGCCGCGAGCCAGGCACCGCCCGGUAGCUGCCUGCCUAAUUUUCUUCAUCUUAACCUGCUUCCUGGGGGAAAGAGGCUGUGGGGUGUUUGUGAGCCCUGCCACGGGCAGUACCAGGGGUGACCCUGCGAUGGACCACUCCUGCUCUUUUUCCCUCCCUGAGUUUUAGAGUCUCCGGCGGACCUGUCCAGAGGCCUGCGGCCUUUUCAUCCUUUAUGCUCUCCACCCCAGGAGAGCCCCUUGGUAGAUCCAUCUUGGAGCUGUGUCCAGCAGCCUGGACCACCUCAAGGCCCUGUCCCUGAGAAAGGAUGCAGGAUGAACAUUACAAAAUGCUGAUGAAAAAUAUCAAGGAACAUCUGAAUAAAUGGAGAGACUUCCCAUGUUCAUGGAUCGGAAAAUGAACAUAAUAACAUACACAAGCUUAUUCUACGUGGAAAAACACAGGUCCAAAAAUGUCCACAAGAUUUCUCAAAAAGAAUAAUAAAGUGGAAGCACUCACUU